rnacentral:rRNA from 1 species
GACGUAGGGUGCGAGCGUUGUCCGGAUUUAUUGGGCGUAAAGAGCUCGUAGGCGGCUCGUCGCGUCGACCGUGAAAACCCGCGGCUUAACUGCGGGCUUGCGGUUGAUACGGGCGGGCUAGAGUUCGGUAGGGGAGACUGGAAUUCCUGGUGUAGCGGUGAAAUGCGCAGAUAUCAGGAGGAACACCGGUGGCGAAGGCGGCUCUCUGGGCCUGUCCUGACGCUCAGGCGCGAAAGCUAGGGGAGCAAACAGG